UUCGGGAUUAAAUAAUAGUAGUAAAUUAGUUGUUAACUCCAAACUUAAAAUCAUAACUAUCAAAAACUUGUAGCAGGUCGUAAUACAAAAAGUUGAUAUCGUUCGCACUUCAGCAGCAAGAUUUAUGAGGAAAGUUACAAAAUCACUUUAAUGAUUAACAUAACGACGGUGUCAGUAACUGACCGAUUGAUACAGUAAAUAAUUUAAUUACUGACAAUCGUUUAUUGAUUUUAACAACGGUGAUAGGUGAGUAUUUAAAGACUUGCUACAACUGAAAAAGUAUCAGUAGUUUUUUGAUUUCGAAAGACCAAGUCUCAAAGCUUUAAAAAUAAUGAAAAUGCACGCUGUAAUUUUUGCGCUUUUUGCUAUAAUUGUUUCAGUUCAGGGUCAAUCUGGCUAUGGAAUGAAUCCGUACAUAUCAGCGAUGUCAGGAUAUCCUCCAAUGGCUUAUCCUCAUCAAAUGCAACCGAUGCCAAUGACGCCACAAGCCAGCGCCGAAAACUCAAAUUCUAAUUCCAACACCAACAUCAAUUCUGCAUCAGGACGUUGGUAUUAAUAGGAAUAUUGAAAAAAUUUUAAUUGAUUGGAAUUAUUACAAGCGCAAU